UGGGGAAUAUUGGACAAUGGGCGCAAGCCUGAUCCAGCCAUGCCGCGUGAGUGAUGAAGGCCCUAGGGUUGUAAAGCUCUUUUGUGCGGGAAGAUAAUGACGGUACCGCAAGAAUAAGCCCCGGCUAACUUCGUGCCAGCAGCCGCGGUAAUACGAAGGGGGCUAGCGUUGCUCGGAAUCACUGGGCGUAAAGGGUGCGUAGGCGGGUCUUUAAGUCAGGGGUGAAAUCCUGGAGCUCAACUCCAGAACUGCCUUUGAUACUGAGGGUCUUGAGUUCGGGAGAGGUGAGUGGAACUGCGAGUGUAGAGGUGAAAUUCGUAGAUAUUCGCAAGAACACCAGUGGCGAAGGCGGCCCACUGGCCCGAUACUGACGCUGAGGCACGAAAGCGUGGGGAGCAAACA
rnacentral:rRNA from 1 species